rnacentral:rRNA from 1 species
CGCGGAGCCUACAGGAAGCUCGCCAUGGAAUGGCACCCUGACAAGUGCGCCAGCGGCAGCUCCGGGUCCGGGGGCGCGGAGGCCGCCAAGGCCAGGUUCCACAAGAUCCAGGCAGCCUACGCAGUUCUGUCGGACCCCAACAAGCGUAUCCUCUACGACGUCGGAGCCUACGACAGCGACGCCGACGAUGAGGGUGCAGGAGACAUACUGGGAGACAUCCUGGAGGCCAUGAACCACACACCCCCACACGAAGACGGCGAGGGCGAGAGCUUGGAGGAUCUGCACAAGCAGUUCGAGGAGCUCUUCCUCAAGCCCGACGCCUACUUCUCCAAGUCGCCGCCGCCCUCCUCCUCCUCCUCCUCCUCCUCCAAUACAAGGGCCGCCGGCAGGAAGUAG